AAAAGACUGUAUACAUAUGUGUAUAGUUGAUUGUAUGUCAUAAAUUCCAAGGACAGGCAGUUUAUUACAAUGGCUUUUGGUCAUCUGCUCAUGAUCUUCAAGGCUGUGCUGAUCUUCAACACAGAUCCAGUGGAUUCUCCUGUUCUGAGCUGGAACGUCACCAUGAUCAGUGUUAACUCCUGUAUUGUGAACGUCACAUGUAGUGGUCAUGACCACACAAUCAGCAAUAGCUACCAAAGCAACAACUGUAGUCAGGAGGC